UUAAAUUUUAAUUAAUAAAGAAUUUUAAUAUUUAAUAUUUAAUUAUAAAAAAAUAAUUAACUCGAAAUAUAGUUUUUAAAUAAUUUGUUUUAUUAAUAAUAAUAAAAACAUUGUACGAUGGCAGUUGUUUUUUUAACAACUCUCUGCUAUAAAUUUAAUUGUUUAAUUUUAAGCUUUAAAUUAUGUUAAUAUCUAUUAAGUUAAAAUAAAAUACAAAAAAAAUGAAAUAAAAUAAAAUUUAAUGAUUAAAUAGAAUAUAUUUGUUUCUUGUUUUGUGUUUUUGUUAGUUGGCUGGUAAAAAUGUUGUGAGCCGUCUGGUAAGUAUACGUGGAAUGGAGCAUUUCAAUUCCAUCUUCAAUGUUUUAUUUAAUACUUGAAUAUGAGAUAUACAUAGGUGAGAGUGAAAAAAUGGCAACUAUUUAGUCAGUUAAGAGUAAAAUGCCAUUCAUAGAGAGAUGCGACCUGCGUCUGCGAAUUACGAAUGUUCGCUGAAUUUGACAUUUCAGGAUAUCUCGCUAGGACCGAUUGUAUGAUUUUUAUGUGGAACACUUGGCAAAUGACACACGUAAUUGGAGGGUCCUGAGCGGCAAAUUCAUGUUUAAGCCACGUUUUGAUCCGUGAAGUCUAAACCACUUUUUGGAGGAUGCUUUGCUGAGUUGAUAUGUCAUGUUAGCAAAAGAUCACAAUUUUUUUUAAUGAAAACAGUGAGCAACAAAAUCAAACUUGUCAUAAUAAAUUCGAGGGUCUCGAAACAGCAAAUUCAGGUAUACACGCUUUGAUAGCGGCCAUACGUUAAAGAACGUAUGCCGUGACUCGACCCCUGAUAAAUUCGCGUCAACUAAGUAAAAAAAUUCAUACAUGCUCAACUUUUCAAUGAAACCCUUUUUGAGAGAUGGUGUUUCGCUAAGUUGAUAUAAAGUUAGCGAAACAUGACAUUUUCUUAUGAAAUCAUGGAACGAUAAAAUCAAAAUUAUCACAACUAAUUAGAGACAAAUUCCGACACACUCAAAUUUUCAGGAGAUGUUGUUUCAUUAAGUUGAUAUCAAGUUACUGAAACAUCAAAAGCAUUAUGAGAAAACAAUGAGUGACAAAAUCAAAAUGGCCACAACAAAUUAACGACAAAAUAAUGGCAAAUUAUCAACCUAGUCACGUUUGGCUUGGUGAUGACGUGAUGAGUGUUUUUGCUAAGUGGACAAUCAUUAAGAAAUCAACAGUAAACGCCGAUUAAAUUAUUUUUGAGAUAUUUUCUGGAGUAGAUAGGAUCAUUUUCUUUAGUUGGUUGUACAAGAUUUCUACUCACAUGAACUUUGUAUUCCAAUAGAUUAUAGAACAUAGUGCCUGCCUACCACGUUGUUUUUUUAAUCGCCUAACCGGUCAGGUUUGUUCCUAAAAAAUGUAAAUUGAAACUUGAUUAGGCACAACACAGGUUAGACAUCGCCUCUAGUACUAUCAUAAAGAAGUAGUUCGUUCGUUAUCUGAGUGAAUACGAGGGUGCAUUAGAUCGAUUUCAAUAAUAGCCCUGUUCCUUUGGGAGGUGGCAAAGUACUGCUAGUAGAGUAGUUUAUUAGCACUUUCAACGAAUUCAAUUUGGGGGCGCUUUUUGGUCAAAAUGAGUAUAUUAGCUCUGUUCAUUUGGAAGUGGUAGUUUAUUCGUUAGUAGAAAUCUAGUACAACAACUACACAUACCUCUAUCUCCUCGAGUAGAAGAUCACGUGUUAAUUGUAGUACUAGAUCUAUACAUGAGCCCUUUUGCUUUGGGAGAAGUCAAAGUACUACAGGAGUGUUUAACUAGCACGCCCUUUCAACGAAAUCAAUGCAAUUCCCAUCUGUAUGGGAAGAAGAGAAUGAGUAUUUCUAGCAGUAAAUGUACUAAGUUAUCUACUCAUGAGCAAAAUACCGCCUCCAUAGAAACGGCAGUUAUCUUAGCUAUUGUACUAGAUUUCUACGCAACAAAGGAACGCUGCUAUUAUUCGCCCAUCUACACUCUUUGUAAAAGCAUUAUUUUAAUUUUACUUUUACGUUACGUUUUUGAGGUAAAUGGCGUAAAUGCAUUGGAAAAUGUGCUUCGUUUCGUAAAAGAAGAAAAACGUUUGAAGAGAUGUUUCGGUAUUAAAAUUACUUUAAAACACUUUAAACAAAACGAAAUAUUAAUAAUACUUCUAAUUUCAAUGUGUUAAAUAUAACAAAACUAGAAAACAAAAAAAAAAUAGUUAAAAGGUUCCAAAAUGUUAAUUUACACAUUUCAUACAAAACCUGUCGAAAUAUGUAAAAUACACUACUAAACACUGAAUUAGAAUUUCUAUUCCAUCUUUGCUUCAAGUAAUUAACAAUCAGUUUUUAAUAAAAAUCUGAAAAAGAAGAUUUUAACCAUGCUUCCAAAUUCAUCAGAGAACCAUCGCACACGAAUUCGAUGAAAACCAAAAAAUAAAAUCAUCCUCUUAAUAUCCAACUUCUCCUUUUUACGACAAUCCAUUAUGAACUUGAACAGAUUAGAUGAGACAAUCAAAGUCGAUAUCAUCUGUUUCAUAAAGCAAAUCAAGAUGACGUAAACCACUUCCCAAGGCUUCAAAAUGGCCUUAAAAAAGAUUGGAGUGUUUCGUAUAAGAAGGCAGAAGGACAUAAAAAGAGCUAAAAAUUCCUAACUGAAUCAUCAAAAACAAAAAAAAAAUGUUGAUUUCAUCGCUUGUGAGUAAUAGAUCUAAGUUAUUCUACAAAGUUAUGUACAAAGUGAAUCCAUCAUUACGAACUUAUUUAUAUGUUCGAUUCUAACAAAAAAUGAAGCCGACAAAAAUAUUUCAUAAGCAUAUUUUUAUACUACAAACAUAUUUAUGUUAAGUAGUUUUUAUAAUUAGCAUAUAAGAAAACCUGAUGUUAAAAAAAUUAGCUUUAAGAACUUCCCUAAACCAUUUUGAUUUGGUUGAUUUCAAAUUGGUAAUUUAACUGGCUAGGAAAAGAAUUGAGUUUUGAAAAAAGAUUAAUUUAUUCUUCGUCUAAAGACAAACUGCUUAUGUGUGAUGAUUGCCUUGAAGAACAAAAUAAUGUUAUUGUUUAUUCGAGUUACUUCUUUAUACUUGCGAAGAAGCUCGCAUGAAUUAAUAUAUUAUUAGGUUUUUUUUAUUUAUUGAAUUGAAGAUGGAUAAAGGUUAAAGUAUAU